rfam:Monodelphis domestica cont3.070113, whole genome shotgun sequence.
GGCUGGGUAGCUCAGUGGAUUGAGAGCCAAGCCUUGAGGUGGGAGGUCCUAGGUUCGAAUCCAGCCUCAGCCA